GAACGAAAAAAGAAUAUCCCUUUGGGGUCGUCCCCUUUCUCGAGCUCAUUUUCAUCGCUAGAUCCAUGGCCGCCGUCGACGAUCCGCCGGAGAAGAAGCUCCCCGCAGCAGAUUGUUCCGGAGACGAAUACAUGGCGGCGGAGGAGGAUUAGUGCUGCAGUCCGGCCACCCCGAGCAGGCGGCGGAGAUGAGAAUCUGUGGUGCCUGCCUGGUGGUUCUGACUCCGAGCACGCCAUCUAUUAAUCAGCCAACGUGAUGUGCUGGAUACAACCUUAAUCAUCUGCAUACUCUAUGGACAGCGCUGCAAAUAAUUGGCACUAUACUUUUCCA